rnacentral:rRNA from 1 species
UACGUAGGGUGCGAGCGUUGUCCGGAAUUAUUGGGCGUAAAGGGCUCGUAGGCGGUUUGUCACGUCGGGAGCGAAAACUCGGGGCUUAACCCCGAGCCUGCUUCCGAUACGGGCUGACUAGAGGUAUGCAGGGGAGAACGGAAUUCCUGGUGUAGCGGUGAAAUGCGCAGAUAUCAGGAGGAACACCGGUGGCGAAGGCGGUUCUCUGGGCAUUACCUGACGCUGAGGAGCGAAAGUGUGGGGAGCGAACAGG